CCGUCGCUCUGCUACCGUCAGCUGCUGUUUCAACAAAAACGCCAUUCAGGGUGAAAAUUCAACCAUGGUGUUGUGUCAGGAGAUGCAGUGAUUUAACAAGGGAAGACAGAGGAGGAGGCAUUAGGUGGUCAUAACCAUAUUCAUCAGAGGACAGCAAAGAAGAAGAAGAGUAGGAGAGCAAGAAAAUAAAUUCCUUUUAUAUUCCCCCUUA